ensembl:lncRNA
UCUCCACUCAGCUUUCUUUACACAUGAAUACAUACAUAUGUAAAAUUCUCCCUCAAUUAAAUAUUAAAACAAUUUUUAAUUUUGAGUUUUUUUUUUAGUUCCAAAUUCCAUCCUUCCCUUUCUCCCCCUCUCCCCUCAUUCACCCCCAGAUGGUAAAGAAUCACAUAUAGGGUAUUCAUGUACAAUCAAGUUAAACAUUAUGGAAAUGUUUUACAUAAUGCCACAUCUGAUUGCUUACCAUCUGGGGUGGGGAGAGGAAGAAGAAAAUUUGAAAUUCAAAACUUUAAGUAAUAAUGUUUUAAAAUAGGGGGAAAUUUCCAUUUUAGUCAUUUUGUAUAAAAAGACUUGAAUAAAAGAAAGAAAUUGAAAAAUAGCAUGCCAAUAUCAGUUCUUUCUCUAGAGGUAAAUAGCAUGCUUCAUCAUUAGUCCUUUGGAAUUGUUUGGGAUCAUUAUAUUGCUAUUUCUGUGUAUAAUACAAUAUCCUCCUGGCUGUUUGUUUUCCUUUACAUUAGUUCAUGUAAUUCUUUCCAGGUUUUUCUAAAAAUCAUUCUGUUUUUCAUUUCUUAUAGUACAAUAAUAUGCCAUCACAAUCAUCUAUCACAACUUGUUUAGCCAUUCUCCAACUAAUGAGCAUCCCUUUGACUUUCUUAGCCACCACAAAAAUAACAGCUGUAAAAUAUGUUUGUACAAAUAAGUCCUUCUCCCUUCCUCCCUUUUUAUGUCUUUAGGCUAUAGAUCUAGCAUCUGCUUAGCUUUCUAAUCAAUCUUCCUGAAUUACAAACUGAUUCAAUAAACUCUUAGUGGCCCCCUGUUUUCUCUAGGAUCAAACAUGAAAUACUCUGUCCUUUAAAACUUGCUCCCUCCUUUUUAAUCCCUUUAUCUACUUCCCUCUACAACUCUACAAUCCAGAAACACUAGUCUCCUUGCUGCACUUGAACACAAUAAGACAUUUGUCGGGCAUUUUUAUUGGUUGUUGCCCUAAGCUUAAAAUGCCUUAAAAUGCCCUUCUCACCUUUGCCUCCUGUCUUCCCUAGCUUUCUUCAAAUUUCAGACAUAUAAAAUCCCAUCUUUUUACAAAAAACCUUUCUAAGUUUCCUUAAUGCUAGUACCUUGUUCCUGUUAUUUCAUAUUUAUCUCUAUAUAGUUUGUUUGUACAUAUCAUAGGGACUAGUUUUGUUGUUAUCAUUGUUCUUUUGGCCUUUCUUUGUAUUCUCAGAUCUUCACACAGUGCCUGGCACAUAGUAGGUAUUCAAUUAAAACUUGUCUAGUAGUAGACCUGUGAUUUCAUUAAUGUGAGGAGUUCCCAUUAGGGAAAUUCCCUCUACCAAAAGAGAGUAUCAGUUGCAUAAGAUGGUUUCUUGGGACCCUUAUAGAUAAAAUGAUCUAAAGUCACAUAGUAUAUGUCCAUAGAUAAGACUCUAACCCUUGUUUUCCUAGCUUUAAGUUCAGUUCUCUCUCUUAUAUAUCAUAUUUAGGCUCAUUCCUUAUAACCUUGCUUCUUUGGCCAUAUCAUAAUCAUUAGUCACAUAAUUUAUUUCCAUCUUUUUAUUUAAAAAUGAUGCUACCAAUAUUUUGAGACAUGAUGAGCCUUUUCUAUCUGUUCUUUAUUUUAUGGGGUAUAAUACCAGGAAUGAAAGUAUUUAAUUUUUAUUAUCUUUUUAAAAAUACAGAAGUGUUUUAUAAUUGUGUUUAUAUAGUUCCUGAUUUUGUCUUGGCAGAUAGACUCCCAAAUAGUUUAUAUUAUCUACAGUUAUUUUAUUUUUAAAAAAUGUUUAAAAGCUUUUUAUUUUCAAAAAAUAUGCAUGGAUAAUUUGACAACAUUGACUCUUGCAUAGCUUUGUGUUUCAGAUUUUCUCCUCCUUCCCUUUACCCCCUCCCCUAGAUGGCAAGCAAUCCAAUAUAUGGUAAACAUGUUAAAAUAUAUCAUAAAUCCAAUAUAUAUAAACAUUUAUAUAGUAGCUACUUUUAUUACUACAUUUACUAUUUAGCAUUUACUUUUUGGUAAAAUUUAAUAUUUUCUUCUUAUAUAAUUCCAAAUUAAUUUCCAUGAUGGUUAGACCAUUUCAAGAACUUACCAGUCAUAAAUUAGCUUGAUGUCUUUCACAAUUGCUAUAAUAUUUAUUUUUAACUUCUUUUACCAUCUUCAUUAAACUUGCAAUUUUUAAAAAAUAUAAAUUGAUGAACUCUCUGGGCAUUCAUAUUAAUAUGCCUACUUCUGGACAUAAUCACAUUUGUUUAAUACAUUUGUGAUUAGCAAUUUUUUAUAUGGCUAUGAAAAUAGGAUAUUCCUCUUUCUUGUAACAAUUUUAUUUCUUGUUCUUAAACUUUAUUGCAGAAAAGGGUGACUUCACUACAGAAUUUUAGGUCAUGCACACUAAUUUACUACUAGUGGGGCUAUGAAUUGGUACAACCAUUCUGGAAUAUAAAAAAGUUAAUUAUAAUAUAAUAAUAUUAUAUAAUAAUAUUAAUAAUAAUAAUCCCUUUUGAUUUCCCUUUCUUGCCUAACUUUUUAUGUUUCUAUUGAGUCAUGUUAGAAAGUCAAAUUUUCUAUUCAGCUCUGGUUUUUUCAUCAGAAAUGCUUUAAAGUCCUUCAUUUCAUAAAAUAUUCUUUUUUUCCCUCUUGAAGGAAUAUACUUAAUUUUGCUGGCUAGAUAAUUCUUGGUUGUACUCCUAACUCCUUUGCCUUUCAGAAUAUUAUAAUUUCAAAUUCUCUAAUCCUUUAAUGUAGAAGCUGCUAAAUCUUAUGUUAUCCUGACUGUGACUCCGUGAUGCUUGAAUUAUUUCUUUCUGGCUACUUGCAAUAUUUUCUCCUUGCUUUGGGAGCUCUAGAAUUUGGCUAUAAUAUUUCAAGGAGUUUUCAUUCUGGGACCUCUUGUAGGAGGUAAUCUGUGGAUUCUUUCAAUUUCUUUUUUACCUUUUAGUUGCAGAAUAUCAGGGCAAUUUUCCUUGAUAAUUUCUUGAAGGAUGAUGUCAAGGUUCUUUUUUUCUUUCUUUCUUUUUUUUUGAUCAUGGCUUUCAGAUAGUUAAGUAAUUUUAAAAUUAUCUCUUUUAAAUCUAUUUUCUAGGUCAUUGACUUUUCCAAUGUCUCCUUUCAAAUUGUCUGCUACUUCUUCAUUCUUUUGAUUUUGUUUUACUGUUUGUUGAUGUUUGUUGAAAUCAUUGGCUUCCACUUGAUCAAUUCUAACUUUAAAGGAAUUAUUUUCUUCAGUGAGCUUUUAUACCUCUUUUUACAUUUGUCAAGUUAUACUUUUAAAGGCAUUUUUUUUCAGUGGAUUAUUUUUCAAUAUAGCCAAUUCUGCUUUUUAAGGAAUUCUUCUCCUCAGUGGCUUUUUCUACUUCCUUCACCAUUUGGCCUACUCUGUUUUAAGGUGUUAUUUUCUUCAGUAUUUUUGUGUCUCUUUUACUAAGCUGUUGACUUGUUUUUCAUGAUUUUCUUAUAUCAUUCUCAUUUCUCAUCCCAUUUUUUUUCUACUUUUCUGUUUGAGCUCUUCCAUGGCCUGAAAUUGAUUCAUAUUUCUUUUCUUUUCUUUUUCUUUUUUUUUUUCUUUUUUCUUUUUUUCUGAGGCAAUUGGAGUUAAGUGACUUGUCUGGGGUCCAAAGCUAGGAAGUAUUAAGUGUCUGAGGCCAGAUUUGAACUGAGGUCCUCCUGACUUCAGAGCUGGUGCUGUAUCCACUGCACCACCUAGAUGCCCUAAUUCAUAUUUUUCUUGGAGAUUUUGGAUGUAGGAGUACUGACUUUGUUAUCUUUUGAGUGUAUGUUUUGACCUUUUUUGUAAUCAUAGUAACUUUCUAUGGUCAGAAUCCUUUUCUGUUGUUUGCUCAUUCCCCCCAGCCUAGUAAUUGCCUUUUAACUCUUUGUUAAUAUAAGGCUCUUCUUCCAGGGAGGAAGGUGUACUAUGGAAGCUUCAGGCAAGUUGUGCAGCUGUUUUCAGAGAUACUUCUACAGACCUGUAUGUUUUCAAUUCUUUCAAGGUGGUAUAAUCCAAGGAAAAGUGUGUUUACUAUUCUCCUGCCCUGAGUUCUGAUCUGUGAGAGACCACAGGCACUCUUUUCUGUCCUGAACUGUGAGGAAGGUCUCAGCUCCACUGUGAUUGCAAACUGUGGUGUGCUAGCACUCCUCCUCACCCUGGGAAUGCCAGCCAGGCCUAUAUUUAGGAUCACUGUAUGGACAGAACAACAGAGUCUUGACUCAGUGCUAGCAAAGAAACCCUCAUAAUUUCUUUCUGACAGCUUGCUUGACCUUCUUACCAUCUAUGGGCUAGGAGCUCUGGACAAAGCCCACGGCUGACUCAGUUGCUCCUAAGGUUUGCUGGGACCUAGUGUGCACUAGCUUAGCCUAUAUUGGACUGCAUUCUACUCUUAUCCUAGUGUGAUAGACUUUUUUUGCUAACCUUCUAAGUUGUCUUUGGCUGGAAAAUUGUUUCACCCCAUCUUUUUGUGGGUUCUACUGCUCAAAAUAUUUUGGGAUAUUAUAUAAAAGGUAUUCAGAUGCCUUUGGGGGAAAGCUCAAGUGAGUUCCUGCCUUUUCUCUGCCAUCUUUGCUUUGCCUCCUGGUUCAACAAUUCUGUAAAACAAUUUGGAAUCAUGCAAGAAAAAAUGCUAACUGGGUUAUAUACUUUGAUCCAAAGAUUCUAUUAAAAGAUCUAUAUUUUAAAGAUAUUGACAGAAAAAAAGAAGAAAAUGCAUGUGCACAAAAAAGUCUAGAGUAGGAUAAAUUGUGAUAACAUGGAACUGGAUGCAAAAUAUUGUGUUCAGAAACUGGAUAAUAACUGAAGGAAUUAUGAAGCAAUUUAUCUAACAUAAAAAGGGGGCAAAAAAGCUUUUACAGUGGAAUGGAAGAGGGAGAGGAGAGGGGAAGACAGUAAACAUUUCUCUUAUCGGAAUGGGCACAAAGAAGAAAUAAUAUACACACUCAAUAGGGGUAUAGAAAUCUUUCUUACACUCCAAAAAAGUUAGGAGGGGAAUGUAAUAUGGGAAGUGGGGAAGGGUGAUAAGAGAAGGCAAAUUGGUGAAGGGAGUAGUCAUUACCAAAACACUUUUGAGGAGGGACAAAGUGAAAGGAGAGAGAGAAUAAAUAGAGGAAAAUACAGUUAGCCAUAGUAAUUGUAAAAUUAAUUUCGAAGCAAGUUUCUCUGAUAAGCCCUCAUCUCUUAAACAUACAGGGAACUGAAUCGAAUUUAUAAAAAAUAAGAGCCAUGCCCCAAAUGAUAAAUGAUCAAAAGAGAUGAUCUGUGCCCAUGAGUACCAAAAGAGAUUCCAAAAAAAAAUAAGGAAAAUGACCUAUAUGUGUAUAUGUGUGUGUAUAUAUAUAUAUAUAUAUAUAUAUAUAUAUAUAUAUAUAUGUUCUCAGGGUAAAAAAAAUUGGAAAUUGAAAGGAUGCUCAUCAAUUGAGGAAUAGCUCGAUAAACUGGUGUGUGCUGAUGAUGGAAGACAAACCUGGAAAGUCCUCCAUGAACUCAAGCAAAGUGAAAUGUACCAUAUACAAAAUAAUAGCAAUGUUCUGGGAUGACCAGCUGUGAAUGAAUUUGCUAUUCUCAGUAGUAUAAUCAUCUAUGGCUACUCUGAAGGACUUAUGAAAAAUCCUAUCUAUACCCAGAGAAGGAACUGAUUGUAUCUGAAUACAGAUUGAAGCAUUCUCUUUCUCUCUCUCUCUCUUUCUACUUAAUUUUUCUUGAAUGUUUUAAUUUUCAUUAGGGUGGGGACCUACUUUUUUUUUUUUACUACCUGGCUUUUAUGGAAAUGUUUUGCAUAACUUCACAAAUAGUUUCUUAAUUGUGAGUAGGGGUAAGGGAGAGGACAUAGAACUCAAAAAUUUUAAAAACAAAUAUAAAACAAUUUUGUUUUAAAUGUAACUGGGGAAAAUAUUCAAUAAACAAAAUUUUAAAAAUACUAUGGAAAACAAUGCUUAAGGUAUAAUAUGCCAUAACAAUAUACAAAUAUAUGAAAUCUUUUGGGCAAAAGCUUGUCUGGACCUCUUUCUAAGAAUCUUUUCAAUCUAAAGAUCCCUAAAUACUUUAUUUAGAAUCUUAAAAAAACAAAAAAAGAAAGUUUAUUUUAUAGAGGAGAAAAAGAUCUUCAAGUUAGUUUGGCCAAAGAAGUUUUUAGUUUUGUUGUUUACUGCACAAAAAUGGCAUCUAUGAGUACUGUUUUCUUUGGAUUUCCUUCUAUCUGUCUGACUGUUCUUUCUCAGCUUUCUUUGUUGAUCAUCAGUUGUGUCAUGUCCUCUAACUAUGGGUAUUUCUCAAGGGUCCAUCAUACUUUCCCUUCUUUUUUCUUGCUAUAUACUCGUCUUAUCUGAUGAUCUCAUUAGCUUGCACAAUUUUGAUUGUUAUCAUCAUGCAGAUGAUACACAUCUUAUACUCAACAUGUUCAAAGUAGACAAGAUUUUUUAUCCUAAACUCACCCCUCUGCUGAAAUUCCCUAUUUCUGUUGGAGUAACACCAACCUUAUAGUCAUUGAGUUUUUUAACUAUGUGUAUCCCCUUAAUUCACAUACUUUCCACCCUAAUUCUAGGUAGUAAUCUUUCACCUGCUUUAUUAAAAUAGUUAUUCUAUUUGGUCUUAAGUCUCUCCUACUCCAGUUCAUCAUCUCCAAAGAGAUUGAAGUGAUUUCCCUAAAAUGCACGUCUGACUCUGCCAAUGUACUACUCAAUAAAUUCCAAUAGCUUCCUAUUACUUUGAGAAUCAAAAACAUAUUCCUCUAGCAUUCAAAGCUGUUCACAAGCUGGCCUCUUUCUAUCUUUCCAAUUUACUUAUAUAUGCAAGGCUAGAGUCCAAGGAUAAUUGCUAUUCUACAUCCAGGAUAGUCCAUCCCCCCAUCUCCAUUACUUGGUACUGCCCUUUGCCUAGAAUUGCUCUCCCUAUUCAUUUCUAUCUCUUGGAAUCUCUACAUUCCUCCAAGACUUGACACAAGAGCCAUCUUUUAUGGGAAGCCUUUCCUGAUUCCAUUAAAUGCUAAUGCCUUCGUCUCUAAAAAUGUCUGUUAUCUGGUUAAGUAUACACAUAUAUAUGUAUAUAUAUACACAAUACAUGCAUUUAUAUAUGUGUACAUAUGUAUAUGCAUAUAUAAAUAUAUAUAUAUACACAUAUAUCCUUCAUUAGAAUGUCAAUUCCUUAUGGGAAGACAUCAUUUUGAUUUUAUCUUUGUAUCUCUAGCAUUUAGCAUAGUUUCUAGGAGACAGUAGAUGCUUAAUAAAUGUGUGUUUACCGUUUCCACCCACAUUCCUUUUGAUACCUAGUCAGAAGUUCAGUGCAGGACAUCUUCUUGAAAGGUGGACAGCUUGAAUAAUUUUUUAUCCUAAACUCUACCUACAUUCCACAUCUUGAAGGAUGCUCCCUCGUCCUGGACAUUUAUCCUUCCAGCCUAUCCUUGCUU